UACGAAGGGGGCUAGCGUUGCUCGGAAUCGCUGGGCGUAAAGCGCACGUAGGCGGAUUGCUAAGUCAGGGGUGAAAUCCUGGAGCUCAACUCCAGAACUGCCCUUGAUACUGGCGGUCUCGAGUCCGGGAGAGGUGAGUGGAACUGCGAGUGUAGAGGUGAAAUUCGUAGAUAUUCGCAAGAACACCAGUGGCGAAGGCGGCUCACUGGCCCGGUACUGACGCUGAGGUGCGAAAGCGUGGGGAGCAAACAGG
rnacentral:rRNA from 1 species